rnacentral:rRNA from 1 species
UACAGAGGUCUCAAGCGUUGUUCGGAUUCAUUGGGCGUAAAGGGCGCGUAGGUGGUUGGGUAAGUCAAAUGUGAAAGCCCGGAGCUCAACUCCGGAACUGCAUUCGAUACUGCCUGGCUCGAGGAUUGGAGAGGUGACUGGAAUUCACGGUGUAGCAGUGAAAUGCGUAGAGAUCGUGAGGAACACCCGUGGCGAAGGCGGGUCUCUGGACAAUUCCUGACAAUGAGGCACGAAGGCCAGGGGAGCAAACGGG